GUAUAGAAAGCGAGAACAGUUUGCAUCUGGCUUCGGACCAGACUUUAGGGGUGAGAUACCCUUUCUAUAUU
rnacentral:tRNA from 1 species